rnacentral:lncRNA from 10 species
CUCCUAGGUGCUCUUGGAGCAGGAAACACUUCACACAACAUCUGAUGCUGCUAUUAUCUAUCCCACUUUCAGAUCAGGAAACUGAGGCAGAGAAAGGUCUCCACCUCUGGGCAGGAGAGUUGCCGACCACCUCGGGGGUGCUUUCUCUGCGCUUGAACAUCUAUAGCUGCUUCUGAGGGGCUGGGAGCCGGGCCCCUGGGAGAGACGAGCCAUGAACCCCCCACAGCCUCUGCAUUUGGGGACCUCACCUUAGGAGAGUGCCAUUUACAGCUUCCGCCAGGGCAAAGGAGCUGAGCAGCCAUCCCAAGCCCAGCCCACCUCCCUCCCCCGGCCCCUGGUAGGCAUGGACUAGCAGCUGUGAGCAGCCAGAGCUGAUGCCCGGCCCCCAGGGGGGCAGAGGCGCCGCCACCAUGAGCCUGGGCAAGCUCUCGCCUGUGGGCUGGGUGUCCAGUUCACAGGGAAAGAGGCGGCUGACUGCAGACAUGAUCAGCCACCCACUCGGGGACUUCCGCCACACCAU